rnacentral:rRNA from 1 species
CAUGGCUCAGGACGAACGCUGGCGGCGUGCCUAAUACAUGCAAGUCGAGCGAAUCUUUAGGAGCUUGCUCCUGAAGGUUAGCGGCGGACGGGUGAGCAACACGUGGGCAACCUGCCUGUAAGACUGGGAUAACUUCGGGAAACCGGAGCUAAUACCGGAUAGUCCUUUCCUUCACAUGAGGGAAAGCUGAAAGUCGGUUUCGGCUGACACUUACAGAUGGGCCCGCGGCGCAUUAGCUAGUUGGUGAGGUAAUGGCUCACCAAGGCGACGAUGCGUAGCCGACCUGAGAGGGUGAUCGGCCACACUGGGACUGAGACACGGCCCAGACUCCUACGGGAGGCAGCAGUAGGGAAUCUUCCGCAAUGGACGAAAGUCUGACGGAGCAACGCCGCGUGAGCGAUGAAGGCCUUCGGGUCGUAAAGCUCUGUUGUUAGGGAAGAACAAGUAUUGGAGUAACUGCCGAUACCUUGACGGUACCUAACCCAGAAAGCCACGGCUAACUACGUGCCAGCAGCCGCGGUAAUACGUAGUGGCAAGCGUUGUCCGGGAAUUAUUGGGCGUAAAGCGCGCGCAGCGGUUCCUUUAAAGUCUGAUGUGAAGGCCCCCGGCUCAACGUGNGGGUCAUGGGAAAACUGGGGGGGACUUGNNNGCAGAAGAAGGAAAGCCGAAUUCCACGUGUAAGCCG